UAGAAUUCUCGCCUGCCACG
rnacentral:ncRNA from 2 species